GAAAUUUCAAAUAUACAGAAACAGGUUCUUAUUUGUUAUGGCAUAUAUUUUGUGUUUGCAUUGUUUUGUCAUUCCAUCAACCUAUGUUUUUAAAAUGGAAGUAGAGGAGCAGUACAAUAGGGAAAUAAUCUUAAUGGUGCAAUGGCAGCAUCUUCUUUUUAUGGUCUGGAUUAGGUUUUCUGAACCAUUGAAAUAGUAAUUUGUCUUAUUGCCACCUGAAGUUGAGACUACUGUGUUCCUUACUACAUCAAAAGAGCUUAUCUUGUUUCACUCAACUACUGGAUAUGCAGAGAAGGGUUUUUGAAUGUCAAUUUUCUCGCUUAACUACUGUUUUAUGACUUGAGUUAGCUGGCAUGUUGUUG
rnacentral:misc_RNA from 1 species